rnacentral:rRNA from 1 species
ACUAUUGUCACGGGUUACCGCGGCUGCUGGCACGGAGUUAGCCGGUGCUUCUUCUGCGAGUAACGUCACAGAUGUAAGGUAUUAACUUACCUACCUUUCCUCCUCGACUGAAGUGCUUUACAACCCGAAGGCCUUCUUCACACACGCGGCAUGGCUGCAUCAGGGUUUCCCCCAUUGUGCAAUAUUCCCCACUGCUGCCUCCCGUAGGAGUCUGGGCCGUGUCUCAGUCCCAGUGUGGCUGAUCAUCCUCUCAGACCAGCUAGGGGAUCCGUCGCCUAGGUGAGCCUUUACCUCACCUACUAGCCUAAUCCCACCUGGGCUUAAUCCUAUUCAGCGCAAGGCCCGAAGGUCCCCCUGCUUUCCCCC